rnacentral:rRNA from 1 species
GACGAACGCUGGCGGCGUGCUUAACACAUGCAAGUCGAACGGAAAGGCCCUGCUUUUGUGGGGUGCUCGAGUGGCGAACGGGUGAGUAACACGUGAGUAACCUGCCCUUGACUUUGGGAUAACUUCAGGAAACUGGGGCUAAUACCGGAUAGGAGCUCCUGCUGCAUGGUGGGGGUUGGAAAGUUUCGGCGGUUGGGGAUGGACUCGCGGCUUAUCAGCUUGUUGGUGGGGUAGUGGCUUACCAAGGCUUUGACGGGUAGCCGGCCUGAGAGGGUGACCGGCCACAUUGGGACUGUGAUACGGCCCAGACUCCUACGGGAGGCAGCAGUGGGGAAUAUUGCACAAUGGGCGGAAGCCUGAUGCAGCAACGCCGCGUGCGGGAUGACGGCCUUCGGGUUGUAAACCGCUUUCGCCUGCGACGAAGCGUGAGUGACGGUAAUGGGUAAAGAAGCACCGGCUAACUACGUG